rnacentral:rRNA from 1 species
AUUUGACCUCAACAUCAGGRAGGAAAUA